GCAAUAUCAUUUUCAGUGUAUGGGUAUUCCACAUCUUUGUCAGAUUCAUCCCAAAGUCUUUUACAUUUUUGAGGCUAUUAUAAAUGGAAUUCUUAUUUUUAUAUUUCAACUUCUGAUUUUUCAUUGUUUUUAUAUAGGAACAAAAUUGGUUUCUGUAUAUUGGUCUUAUAUCCUGCAACUUUUCUAACUUCACUAGUUCUAGUAACUUUUGGGGGAAUUCCAAGGGAUUUUCUACAAAGACCAGGGGUUUGCAAACUAUGGACCAUGGGCUAAAUGUAGUCUGAUGCUUGUUCUACAAGUAAAGUUUUACUGGAACACAGACAUGCUCAUUUGGUUAUAUAUUGUCUAUGAUUCUUUUGUAUUACAAUGACAAAGGUAAGUAGUUCAACAGAGAUAACAUAGAUAAGCACGUCACAUACAAUAAAGGCAGUCUUGUUUCUAUAACCUUCAGUAAAAUGCUGAAUAGUCACUUCUAUUCAGCAUCCUUGUCCUGUUUUGAUCUUAGAGGAAAAGCAUUGUCUUUCACUAUCAUGUAUGGUGUUGAUAGAGAUUUUUUGUUUUGUUUUGUUUUGUCUGUGCCUUUCUAGGGCCGUUCCUGCGGCAUAUGCAGGUUCCCAGGCUAGGGUACAUAUAGGGCAAUUAGGGUAUCUAUUUCUUUGUGAGCAAGAUUUUAUGGUUUGCAUUUUCAAAGAAUUGUCUGUUUCAUCUAACUUAUUGGAUUUACUGGCAUAAAUUUUCAGGUUUUUUUAUCAUCCUUUUAAUACUGGUUGAAAAUGUAGUGAUGUCACCUCUCUCAUUUCUGAUAUCGAUAAUUUGUGUCAUCUUUUUUUCUGAUAAGUCUAGCUAAAAAUACAUCAGUUAUGUUGAUCUUUUCAUUGGUUUCCUCUAUUAUUUUGGUUUUCCAUUUUACUGAGUUCUUUUUUUUAAUUCAAAUUACUUUGGGUUUAAUUUGCUCUUCUUUUUCUAGUUUCUUAAAGUGGAAGCUGAGGUUGGUAACUUAAGAUUUUUCUUCUUUCCUAAUAAAGUCAUUUACUUCUCUAAAUUUCCUUCUAAGUGCUAGUUUUGUGUCAUCCCCUACACUGUGUGUGUCAUCCUAUGCAUUCCCUAUUUUUUAUUUUUUGACCCAUUUGUUAUUUAGAUUAUAAAUAUUUGAGGAUUUUCCAAUGAUCUAUGGCAAUUAGUCUUAUUACUGAGGCAAAAACCUCUGGGUACUGUACCAAAUGUUAUAUGAAUCUCGAUGUUUUCCACUCUGGGUAGAAGGAAUAGGCACCAUUCUCAGUACUGUGUGAGCACCAUACACUGUUUCUGCUAAUCCUUUUAGAGGGACCAUAUGCUGAUGAGUAUUCAGCUAAACAAUCAAGGGGGAUCCUCUACAGAUCUUUGAAAAAUUCCCUCUCUGUGCAGUACUCUGUCCUAUAACCCCUAGCCACCUUGGUCUCCUUGGUCUCUCAGCUCCAUCUCCUCAACCCACAGAGUCCAUCAGGCUCUGUCCACUUCCCUGUACUGAAAACUCUCCCAUGGCAGUAAGCUGCAGCAGCCGUAUGUCUCACUCGUUUUUUCUUCUUGCCUCUCAAGUAU
ensembl:lncRNA